rnacentral:lncRNA from 1 species
CUGAUCUCUUGUGAAAAGGAGCCUUUUGGAAAGGGCGCUUAAAGGGAAAACGUGGCCACAGGUCCUGAAGGGGCUGCUUCUCAUGGACCCCCUUUGAGUAGUGUCUCUUGAAUAGCCGUGGAAAAUGAACUUAAUAUAAAGCAGACACAGCCCUCAAGCGCUCCCUGACUCGAGACAGCAUCCCUUCUGCCUCUUGAAGCUCGUUGGCUUUGGAAAUCACCCGCGGCUCUGUGGCCACCUCCCCUGUUGGCUGAAGCUUGCCUCGCGGCACGUCCCUCUUUGCGCAGGUCUGCACGCUCCGCAGAGGUAACUGAGGACUUUCCGAGUCCAGCUGACUGGAAAGAGGCGAUGGCCUAACAAAACGGCCUGGGGAAUUUCCAGCACGAUGGGAAUUUGCCAAAUAGCUCUUCUGUAGGGCUGACGAGGCCUACUAAUGUUUGCUCCUCAAAGUCAGCCAUAAUUACGAAGUAGCUGGGACAUCUGGUAUAACUGUGAAGAAGAAUGGUGACAGUGGACAUCUUUGCAUUGUUCCUGAUCUCAGGGGGAAAGCCACCCAUUUCUUACCAUUAAAUAUGAUGUUAGCUGUAGGUUUUGUGGAGGUGUUCUUUAUCAAGUUUAUGAAGUUCCCCUCUAUUCCUAGUUUGCUGAGAGUUGUUUUUUUUUUUUUUUUUUUUUUUUUACCAUGAAUAGUGUUGGAUUUUGUCAAAUGCUUUUUCUGAAUCAAUUAAUAUGAUCAUAUGGUUUUAAUCCUUUAGCCAAUCGAUUUUGUGGGUUACAUUGAUUUUUCUGAAUGUUUAACGAGACUUGCAUACCUGGAAUAAAUUCUACUUGGUCAUGUGUAAUUCUUUUUAUAUAUUGUUGGAUUCUUUUAUAUUUUAUUGAGGAUUCAGAUUGAUCUAUUUAAGCCACAGCCAUGAAUAAGUUACUCCCUUGUUCAAAAGUGUCAAUGACUCCCAAGUAUAAUCAACUAAAAUCCAGAUUCCUUAGUCAUUCAAAGCCCUCUAUAAUCUGGCCUUAUGUUCCCUCUCUGUGCUUUUCUCCCACUACUUUCUGUGAUAUACCCUCUAUUUCCUUAAACAUUUUCUAUACUUUUUCACCAUCCUAUGUUUGAAUAUCCUGUUCCCUUCUUUCGGGUCUAGGCAUGACAUUCAACUCUAUUCUACUCCCAUUUUCUGAAAUUCUACUUUUCUUCAAUACCCAGCUCAAGUUAAAACCCUUUCAAAUGGGGGGCCAGCCCCGUGGCUGAGUGGUUAAGUUCACGAGCUCCACUGCAGGCAGCCCAGGGUUUCAUUGGUUCGAAUCCUGGGCGUGGACAUGGCACCACUCAUCGAGCCAUGCUGAGGUGGCAUCCCACAUGCCACAACUAGA